GCCUAACACAUGCAAGUCGAGCGGCAGCACAAGUAAGUUUACUUAUGAGGUGGCGAGCGGCGGACGGGUGAGUAAUGCCUAGGGAUCUGCCCAGUCGAGGGGGAUAACAGUUGGAAACGACUGCUAAUACCGCAUACGCCCUACGGGGGAAAGGAGGGGACCUUCGGGCCUUCCGCGAUUGGAUGAACCUAGGU
rnacentral:rRNA from 1 species